rnacentral:rRNA from 1 species
UACAGAGGGGGCAAGCGUUGUUCGGAAUCACUGGGCGUAAAGGGCGCGUAGGCGGCUUUAUAAGUCGGGGGUGAAAGCCUGUGGCUCAACCACAGAAUUGCCUUCGAUACUGUAGAGCUUGAGACCGGAAGAGGUAAGUGGAACUGCGAGUGUAGAGGUGAAAUUCGUAGAUAUUCGCAAGAACACCAGUGGCGAAGGCGGCUCACUGGCCCGAUACUGACGCUGAGGCACGAAAGCGUGGGGAGCAAACAGG